GACGAACGCUGGCGGCGUGCCUAAUACAUGCAAGUCGAGCGAAUCAAUAGGAGCUUGCUCCUGUUGGUUAGCGGCGGACGGGUGAGCAACACGUGGGCAACCUGCCUGUAAGACUGGGAUAACACCGGGAAACCGGUGCUAAUACCGGAUAAUCCUUUUCCUCUCAUGAGGAAAAGCUGAAAGACGGUUUCGGCUGUCACUUACAGAUGGGCCCGCGGCGCAUUAGCUAGUUGGUGAGGUAACGGCUCACCAAGGCGACGAUGCGUAGCCGACCUGAGAGGGUGAUCGGCCACACUGGGACUGAGACACGGCCCAGACUCCUACGGGAGGCAGCAGUAGGGAAUCUUCCACAAUGGACGAAAGUCUGAUGGAGCAACGCCGCGUGAGCGAUGAAGGCCUUCGGGUCGUAAAGCUCUGUUGUUAGGGAAGAACAAGUACAGGAGUAACUGCCGGUACCUUGACGGUACCUAACCAGAAAGCCACGGCUAACUACGUGCCAGCAGCCGCGGUAACAC
rnacentral:rRNA from 1 species